rnacentral:pre_miRNA from 2 species
GGAAACACUACCGUUAAAUCGAAAAAUGGAUGUCUGAGAUUCGUCUAUGUCACCAUGAGUUAAGAUUUUAACUCCCAAUAAAAUUUUAACUCAUGAGUGAAUCCACGAGUUAAAUUUUAACUUAUGGUGACGUGGAUGAAUCUCGGACGUCCAUUUCUCGAUCCAACAGUAGUUUUCAAUUUUCC